UACAGAGGUCCCAAGCGUUGUUCGGAUUCAUUGGGCGUAAAGGGUGUGUAGGUGGCGCCGUAAGUCGGGUGUGAAAUUUCGGAGCUUAACUCCGAAACUGCAUUCGAUACUGCGGUGCUUGAGGACUGGAGAGGAGACUGGAAUUCCUGGUGUAGCAGUGAAAUGCGUAGAGAUCAUGAGGAAGACCAGUGGCGAAGGCGGGUCUCUGGACAGUUCCUGACACUGAGACACGAAGGCCAGGGGAGCAAACGGG
rnacentral:rRNA from 1 species